AUUCAGAAAUGUGAAGAAUCGAUCCAGAAGUUCCAGUGUUCACCUGGGAAAGGUUCCAAAGGGUCCACCUGGUGUCAGAGGCUGGGAAUUCCAGGACUGGAGAACUGGCAUCUGGUGAGGGCCUUGUUGCUGCAUCAUUCUAUAGUGGAAGGUGGAAGGGCAAGAGAGGACAUGCUGGAGUAUAGUGGCGUAAUCUCAGCUCACAGCAACCUCCGCCUCCCGCGUUCAAGCGAUUCUC